GGGUUGUGAGGUUAAGCGACUAAGCGUACACGGUGGAUGCCUAGGCAGUCAGAGGCGAUGAAGGGCGUGCUAAUCUGCGAAAAGCGUCGGUAAGCUGAUAUGAAGCGUUAUAACCGACGAUACCCGAAUGGGGAAACCCAGUGCAAUACGUUGCACUAUCGUUAGAUGAAUACAUAGUCUAACGAGGCGAACCGGGGGAACUGAAACAUCUAAGUACCCCGAGGAAAAGAAAUCAACCGAGAUUCCCCCAGUAGCGGCGAGCGAACGGGGAGGAGCCCAGAGUCUGAAUCAGUUUGUGUGUUAGUGGAAGCGUCUGGAAAGUCGCACGGUACAGGGUGAUAGUCCCGUACACCAAAAUGCACAGGCUGUGAACUCGAUGAGUAGGGCGGGACACGUGACAUCCUGUCUGAAUAUGGGGGGACCAUCCUCCAAGGCUAAAUACUCCUGACUGACCGAUAGUGAACCAGUACCGUGAGGGAAAGGCGAAAAGAACCCCGGCGAGGGGAGUGAAAUAGAACCUGAAACCGUGUACGUACAAGCAGUGGGAGCACCUUCGUGGUGUGACUGCGUACCUUUUGUAUAAUGGGUCAGCGACUUAUAUUUUGUAGCAAGGUUAACCGAAUAGGGGAGCCGUAGGGAAACCGAGUCUUAACUGGGCGUCUAGUUGCAAGGUAUAGACCCGAAACCCGGUGAUCUAGCCAUGGGCAGGUUGAAGGUUGGGUAACACUAACUGGAGGACCGAACCGACUAAUGUUGAAAAAUUAGCGGAUGACUUGUGGCUGGGGGUGAAAGGCCAAUCAAACCGGGAGAUAGCUGGUUCUCCCCGAAAGCUAUUUAGGUAGCGCCUCGUGAACUCAUCUUCGGGGGUAGAGCACUGUUUCGGCUAGGGGGCCAUCCCGGCUUACCAAACCGAUGCAAACUCCGAAUACCGAAGAAUGUUAUCACGGGAGACACACGGCGGGUGCUAACGUCCGUCGUGAAGAGGGAAACAACCCAGACCGCCAGCUAAGGUCCCAAAGUCAUGGUUAAGUGGGAAACGAUGUGGGAAGGCACAGACAGCCAGGAUGUUGGCUUAGAAGCAGCCAUCAUUUAAAGAAAGCGUAAUAGCUCACUGGUCGAGUCGGCCUGCGCGGAAGAUGUAACGGGGCUAAACCAUGCACCGAAGCUGCGGCAGCGACGUUAGGCGUUGUUGGGUAGGGGAGCGUUCUGUAAGCCGUUGAAGGUGACCUGUGAGGGUUGCUGGAGGUAUCAGAAGUGCGAAUGCUGACAUAAGUAACGAUAAUGCGGGUGAAAAACCCGCACGCCGGAAGACCAAGGGUUCCUGUCCAACGUUAAUCGGGGCAGGGUGAGUCGACCCCUAAGGCGAGGCUGAAAAGCGUAGUCGAUGGGAAACAGGUUAAUAUUCCUGUACUUGGUGUUACUGCGAAGGGGGGACGGAGAAGGCUAGGCUGGCCGGGCGACGGUUGUCCCGGUUUAAGCGUGUAGGGGGAGUGACCAGGUAAAUCCGGUUGCUUAUCAACCCUGAGGCGUGAUGACGAUGCACCACGGUGCAGAAGCAGUUGAUGCCAUGCUUCCAGGAAAAGCCUCUAAGCAUCAGGUAACAUUAAAUCGUACCCCAAACCGACACAGGUGGUCAGGUAGAGAAUACUCAGGCGCUUGAGAGAACUCGGGUGAAGGAACUAGGCAAAAUGGUGCCGUAACUUCGGGAGAAGGCACGCUGGCGUUAGGUGAAAGGACUAGCUCCUGGAGCUGAAGCCAGUCGCAGAUACCAGCUGGCUGCAACUGUUUAAUAAAAACACAGCACUGUGCAAACACGAAAGUGGACGUAUACAGUGUGACGCCUGCCCGGUGCUGGAAGGUUAAUUGAUGGGGUCAGCCGCAAGGCGAAGCUCUUGAUCGAAGCCCCAGUAAACGGCGGCCGUAACUAUAACGGUCCUAAGGUAGCGAAAUUCCUUGUCGGGUAAGUUCCGACCUGCACGAAUGGCGUAAUGAUGGCCAGGCUGUCUCCACCCGAGACUCAGUGAAAUUGAACUCGCUGUGAAGAUGCAGUGUACCCGCGGCAAGACGGAAAGACCCCGUGAACCUUUACUAUAGCUUGACACUGAACAUUGAGCCUUGAUGUGUAGGAUAGGUGGGAGGCCUUGAAGUGUGGACGCCAGUCUGCAUGGAGCCAACCUUGAAAUACCACCCUUUAAUGUUUGAUGUUCUAACUCGGCCCCAUGAUCUGGGGUGAGGACAGUGUCUGGUGGGUAGUUUGACUGGGGCGGUCUCCUCCCAAAGAGUAACGGAGGAGCACGAAGGUUAGCUAAUCACGGUCGGACAUCGUGAGGUUAGUGCAAAGGCAUAAGCUAGCUUGACUGCGAGAGUGACGGCUCGAGCAGGUACGAAAGUAGGUCUUAGUGAUCCGGUGGUUCUGAAUGGAAGGGCCAUCGCUCAACGGAUAAAAGGUACUCCGGGGAUAACAGGCUGAUACCGCCCAAGAGUUCAUAUCGACGGCGGUGUUUGGCACCUCGAUGUCGGCUCAUCACAUCCUGGGGCUGAAGUAGGUCCCAAGGGUAUGGCUGUUCGCCAUUUAAAGUGGUACGCGAGCUGGGUUUAGAACGUCGUGAGACAGUUCGGUCCCUAUCUGCCGUGGGCGUUGGAAGAUUGAGAGGGGCUGCUCCUAGUACGAGAGGACCGGAGUGGACGAAUCACUGGUGUUCGGGUUGUCAUGCCAAUGGCAUUGCCCGGUAGCUAAAUUCGGAAGAGAUAACCGCUGAAAGCAUCUAAGCGGGAAACUUGCCUCGAGAUGAGUCUUCCCUGGGGCUUAAAGCCCCCUGAAGGAACGUUAAAGACUAUGACGUUGAUAGGCUGGGUGUGUAAGUGCAGCGAUGUAUUGAGCUAACCAGUACUAAUGAUCCGUGAGGCUUAACCUUACAACACCGAAGGUGUUU
rnacentral:rRNA from 1 species